rnacentral:misc_RNA from 1 species
GGAGGGAUCAUUAACACGAUUCUUAAAUCGUUUUCUAUUUCCAACCAACCGCGUGAAUUAAUUGAAUCAACAACAACCUGACCUAUUAGAACUAGAUCUGCUUGGAAGGCACGGAGUGAUGAGUAUGUCUAAUGUGGCUUGCUACAUUCUUCAUACGGUGUCCCCAAGCUACGUAUUGCAAAUACAUGCAUUUUACUAUGUAUGUAUUUGACUUCACAGGAUCUCUUUCUCUUAGGCUUUUAACUAUUUUAGUUCCCUUCAUCGCUGGAACGCAAACACCCCUUUCACCACUAUAACUAAUCGACUGAUAUUGCGUAUCCUUUGCAUAGUAGUAAAAUACUGUGUGAAUUGUAUGCAAACCUAAUUAAUCAAAUAUCUAGCACAACUCUUAGCAACGGAUAUCUUGGUUCUCGCAACGAUGAAGAACGCAGCGAAAUGCGAUAUGUAAUGCGAAUUGCAGAAUUCAGUGAAUCAUCAAAUCUUUGAACGCAAAUGGCGGUCUCGGGUUAGUCCUGAGACCACGCCUCUCUCAGUAUCGGUUCAACCUAACAUCGGAUGCGUAUAUACAUUUUACUAUGUAUAUACUUACUGCCGGAUAAUGAGAGUAAUAUUGCUUUUAAUUAAGCGGUAUUUCUCUUGAAAUGAGUUGAGCUACUAGAUGCUCCUAGUACCCUUGCAGAGCAAUCUGCAAUAGCACUAUUGUUUAGUGUGAAACUUACUAGUGAACGUGGAUAAUUUCAUGCUUUCGGGUGUGGAUUGAAACGUCUCACAACGUGUAAGCUUCAUACUGGCAGUAGCGUGAAGAAUACUAGGUAUAAAUGGCAUCUAAACUUUAACAGCGAAUCGAAUUACCAAUUUAGCAUUAAUUUGCUACUUUCGAAUUAGAUCUGAGAUGAAGCGAGGAGACCCCCUGAAUUUAAGCAUAUUAUUAAGGGGAGGAAAAGGAACUAACAAGGAUUCCCCCAGUAACGGCGAGUGAAGCGGGAUGAGCUCAAGUUGAGAAUCGGUGAUCCAUGCGGGUCGUUCCGAAUUGUACCCUAGAGACGUGUGAUCAGCGUGUGACCCAGGUGUAAGUCCUUUGGAAGAAGGCAUCAGAGAGGGUGAGAAUCCCGUCCACAACCUGGAGUUUCGCCGCGUACGAUGCAUGUUCACAGAGUCGAGUUGUUUGGGAUUGCAGCUCUAAAACGGUGGUAAGGUUCAUCGAAAGCUAAAUACAGGCGAGAGACCGAUAGCGAACAAGUACCGUGAGGGAAAGAUGAAAAGAACUUUGAAAAGAGAGUUAAAAAGUACUUGAAAUUGCUAAGAGGGAAGCGCUAAAAACCAGUGUGACUGCUCCCAUUCUGCCUAUCCACCUCUCUGUUUGGCUGCGCUGUCUAGUUGGCAACUCUAGCGGUGUAGUGAAUAAGCGGGGAGUGGGUGGGUCCUGUGGGAGUAGCGCGUCAGGAUCAGUUCGGAUUUUUGUGCAGGAGAGGAUAUGGGUAGAAGGUAGGGUUGGUAACAACCUGUUAUAUCUGCUCGAUUCAACUGUGCUCUGGACUGAGGAAUAAAAGUAAUGGUGCGCCACUACGGCUUGUGCCUCUGUUGCUAUGUGAUACGGAUAGCUUGGAUGACAAUGUCAUGCUGUUGUUCGUGUUGCAUACGCAGUGGAACGCCCCGAUGCACCCAUCACGAUUCUGACUAAAUGGUUUUUAUCGACCAGUCUUGAAACACGGACCAAGGAGUCUAACAUAUAUGCGAGUAUUUGGGUGCUUGAAACCCGCAUGCGCAAUGAAAGUAAAGGUUGGCUUGUUCAACUGAGGUAGGAAACCUGGUGUAAACAGCCGGGUGGCACUAUCGACCGAUCGUCACUUGUGAAAGAUUUGAGUCAGAGCAUAUCUGUUGGGACCCGAAAGAUGGUGAUCUAUGCCUGAACAGGGUGAAGCCAGGGGAAACUCUGGUGGAGGCUCGUAGCGAUACUGACGUGCAAAUCGUUCGUCUGAUUUGGGUAUAGGGGCGAAAGACUAAUCGAACUAUCUAGUAGCUGGUUCCCUC